rnacentral:lncRNA from 1 species
AAAACUGAUCCUUCUUUUAUUUAUUUGUGUGUCCGUUUGUGUGUGUCGUAGAUCGCGGAUUGCCCGAGGAGGAUCCCGAGGAGGAGUUUGACCGCGAGCCUGAGCCUGAGGAUCAGUAGCACGAGCCGGAACUCCCGGAAGGCUUUGAAGACGGCAAGUCCAAUCUCACCCUUUGAUGCAUAUUUAAUACCUAGUUUUUCAAACACAACCUAUUGGCCC